UGCAAGUCGAGCGGCAGCGACAACAUUGAUUCUUCGGAGGAUUUGUUGGGCGGCGAGCGGCGGACGGGUGAGUAAUGGCUGGGAACCUGCCCUGACGUGGGGGAUAACAGUUGGAAACGACUGCUAAUACCGCAUGAUGUCUUUGGACCAAAGAGGAGGACCUUCGGGCUUCUCGCGUCGGGAUGGGCCCAGUUGGGAUUAGCUAGUUGGUGAGGUAAUGGCUCACCAAGGCGACGAUCCCUAGCUGGUUUGAGAGGAUGAUCAGCCACACUGGAACUGAGACACGGUCCAGACUCCUACGGGAGGCAGCAGUGGGGAAUAUUGCACAAUGGGCGCAAGCCUGAUGCAGCCAUGCCGCGUGUGUGAAGAAGGCCUUCGGGUUGUAAAGCACUUUCAGCAGUGAGGAAGGCGUAGUGGUUAAUACCCGCUGCGCUUGACGUUAGCUGCAGAAGAAGCACCGGCUAACUCCGUGCCAGCAGCCGCGGUAAUACGGAGGGUGCGAGCGUUAAUCGGAAUUACUGGGCGUAAAGCGCAUGCAGGCGGUUUGUUAAGCAAGAUGUGAAAGCCCCGGGCUCAACCUGGGAACCGCAUUUUGAACUGGCAGGCUAGAGUCUUGUAGAGGGGGGUAGAAUUUCAGGUGUAGC
rnacentral:rRNA from 1 species